AUGAAUUUUGAAGGUGACAGUAAUUUUCUCCUUGAAAAACGCUAGGUUGAAAAUACGCCCCCAGUUAUGACGUCAACCUGCCAGAUGGUAACUUCACAUAAUCAGUUCUUGUUUAAAUGUUGAAGGUGUUUCAGAAUGGAAAAAGUGUCAGGAUUGGAUGUUAUCCGGGUUUUUACUAGCCACAAUAUCCGUCACUCCAUGCCAUGAAGUAGGCCGGUCAUCAUGGCUGCACAUUUUACCAUCCCACUCAUUGAAGAAACCCAACAACAUGUCAGAUCACCCAAAAUGACCAGUUUCCAGUUUUGCGGCUAUUUUAAACGGAUCGGUAAAAAGUCGAUCAGGGUUACUCCGGACUUGAUCUCCCAGAACUUUGAAAAUGCCGGAUGUUGCUUGCUAUUUAUUU